UGCAAGUCGAACGAAGUAGCAAUACUUAGUGGCAGACGGGUGAGUAACAUGUAGGUAUCUGCCCUUUGGCCUGGAAUAACACGAGGAAACUUGUGCUAAUACCGGAUAAGUCUUUACGGAGAAAGCUUUAUGCACCAUUGGAUGAGCCUGCACUUGAUUAGUUUGUUGGUGGGGUAAUGGCCUACCAAGACUGUGAUCAAUAGCUGAUUUGAGAGGAUGAUCAGCCACAUCGGGACUGAGACACGGCCCAAACUCCUACGGGAGGCAGCAGUGGGGAAUCUUGCACAAUGGAGGAAACUCUGAUGCAGCGAUGCCGCGUGAGUGAAGAAGGCCUUUGGGUUGUAAAGCUCUUUCGUCGGGGAAGAAAAUGACUGUACCCGAAUAAGAAGGUCCGGCUAACUUCGUGCCAGCAGCCGCGGUAAUACGAAGGGACCUAGUGUAGUUCGGAAUUACUGGGCUUAAAGAGUUCGUAGGUGGUUGAAAAAGUUGGUGGUGAAAUCCCAGAGCUUAACUCUGGAACUGCCAUCAAAACUUUUCAGCUAGAGUAUGAUAGAGGAAAGCAGAAUUUCUAGUGUAGAGGUGAAAUUCGUAGAUAUUAGAAAGAAUACCAAUUGCGAAGGCAGCUUUCUGGAUCAUUACUGACACUGAGGAACGAAAGCAUGGGUAGCGAAGAGGAUUAGAUACCCUCGUAGUCCAUGCCGUAAACGAUGUGUGUUAGACGUUGGAAAUUUAUUUUCAGUGUCGCAGCGAAAGCGAUAAACACACCGCCUGGGGAGUACGACCGC
rnacentral:rRNA from 1 species